CCGUACUAGACGGGGAGUUAGCGGUGUCCUGUAACCCGCAAGCCGCUAUAGCGGGGUUGAAUUCCGCGCCGAGGGUUUCUCUCGUAAGGUAUGGAGCACAUCGCUUGAUGUUGAUGGAUGGGUCCUGUGCAACGCUGCGUUGUGAACCCUGUCAGGUCCUGACGGAAGCAGCAGUAAGCAAAUUGCCGCGUGUGCCGCAGGCGUGCCUGUUCUGAGUCAACGAUGUGAUUUCCUCUCAUGAGAGCAAAUUCGGAGCGUGGUGUACG
rnacentral:SRP_RNA from 1 species